UACAGAGGGUGCAAGCGUUGUUCGGAAUUAUUGGGCGUAAAGCGCGUGUAGGCGGCUUUGCAAGUCGGGUGUGAAAGCCCUCAGCUCAACUGAGGAAGUGCGCCCGAAACUGCAGAGCUUGAGUGCCGGAGAGGGUGGCGGAAUUCCCCAAGUAGAGGUGAAAUUCGUAGAUAUGGGGAGGAACAGCCGGUGGCGAAGGCG
rnacentral:rRNA from 1 species